AAGGAAUAUUGGACAAUGGGCGCAAGCCUGAUCCAGCCAUGCCGCGUGUGUGAAGAAGGCCUUCGGGUUGUAAAGCACUUUAAGCGGGGAGGAAGGCCUGAUGGCUAAUAUCCAUCGGGAUUGACGUUACCCGCAGAAUAAGCACCGGCAAACUUCGUGCCAGCAGCCGCGGUAAUACGAAGGGUGCGAGCGUUAAUCGGAAUUACUGGGCGUAAAGCGCGCGUAGGUGGUUAAGUAAGCGAUCUGUGAAAGCCCCGGGCUUAACCUGGGAGCUGCAGGUCGAACUGCUUGGCUAGAGUAUGGUAGAGGGGUGUGGAAUUUCCUGCGUAGCGGUGAAAUGCGUAGAUAUAGGAAGGAACAUCAGUGGCGAAGGCGACACCCUGGACCGAUACUGACACUGAGGCGCGAAAGCGUGGGUAGCGAAC
rnacentral:rRNA from 1 species